rnacentral:sRNA from 1 species
AACAAGGAAGUCAAUAUUGACAACCAAUGUGAAGUAAAAAUUGACAAAGAUUGACAACAAAUUUCAGUUUGUAUUAUAGAAUGUAAAAGCCGGAAAUAACAGCAAAACUCAUUCCAUACUCCUCCCAAUUUAAACCCGAGGAUGUGUGUUUGAGACUUAAACCGUUGGCAUUAUGGACACGACAAACGUCCAGUAUAGAGUGAAUCAGUGUUCCAAGUGUCCGGGGGACACAGCGUAUUAUUGUGUAUCAUGUCCAUGCGAGCUGUGUGGCCAAUGUAAAGAGAACCAUGUACAAGAUCUCAAAACAAUAAGACAUGAAAGGAAUAAGGAAAAAAUAACUGUUUUCUUAACAUCGAUUUAAAUUGAAUUAAAAAAAAUUCUUUGU